AGUGAACGCUGGCGGUAGGCCUAACACAUGCAAGUCGAACGGCAGCACAGUAAGAGCUUGCUCUUACGGGUGGCGAGUGGCGGACGGGUGAGGAAUACAUCGGAAUCUACUUUUUCGUGGGGGAUAACGUAGGGAAACUUACGCUAAUACCGCAUACGACCUACGGGUGAAAGCAGGGGAUCUUCGGACCUUGCGCGAUUGAAUGAGCCGAUGUCGGAUUAGCUAGUUGGCGGGGUAAAGGCCCACCGAGGCGACGAUCCGGAGCUGGUCUGAGAGGAUGGUCGGCAAAACGGGACCUGGACCCGGGCCCAGCCCCUGAGGGGAGGAGGCGUUGGGGAAAAUGGAACAUGGGGCGCAAGCCUGACCCAGCCAGACCGCUGGGGUGAAGAAGGCCUUCGGGUUGUAAAGCCCUUUUGUUGGGAAAGAAAAGCAGCAGGUUAAAACCCCGCUGUUCGGACGUUACCCAAAGAAUAAGCACCGGCUAACUUCGU
rnacentral:rRNA from 1 species